rnacentral:rRNA from 1 species
CAUGCAAGUCGAGCGGUAAGGCCCUUCGGGGUACACGAGCGGCGAACGGGUGAGUAACACGUGAGCAACCUGCCCCUGACUCUGGGAUAAGCGGUGGAAACGCCGUCUAAUACCGGAUACGACCCGCCACCUCAUGGUGGAGGGUGGAAAGUUUUUCGGUCAGGGAUGGGCUCGCGGCCUAUCAGCUUGUUGGUGGGGUAACGGCCUACCAAGGCGAUUACGGGUAGCCGGCCUGAGAGGGCGACCGGCCACACUGGGACUGAGACACGGCCCAGACUCCUGCGGGAGGCAGCAGUGGGGAAUAUUGCGCAAUGGGCGAAAGCCUGACGCAGCGACGCCGCGUGGGGGAUGACGGCCUUCGGGUUGUAAACCUCUUUUACCACCAACGCAGGCUUCCAGUUCUCUGGAGGUUGACGGUAGGUGGGGAAUAAGGACCGGCUAACUACGUGCCAGCAGCCGCGGUAAUACGUAGGGUCCGAGCGUUGUCCGGAAUUAUUGGGCGUAAAGAGCUCGUAGGCGGCGUGUCGCGUCUGCUGUGAAAGACCGGGGCUUAACUCCGGUUCUGCAGUGGAUACGGGCAUGCUAGAGGUAGGUAGGGGAGACUGGAAUUCCUGGUGUAGCGGUGAAAUGCGCAGAUAUCAAGAGGAACACCGGUGGCGAAG